GCCCUAUAGUGCCACUACACUUCCCGACAAGGGCCUUCGGAGAAAUGCGAUGUUUCAAGCUAAGGCCCUAUAGUGCCACUACACUUCCCGACAAGGGCCUUCGGAGAAAUAUCGAAUUUCUCCUUGUAUUUGUCAGGUAUAGUUACAUCCCUAGCAAUGAAAGGUUUGUUAUUAUUGGCACGACCUACAACAGACUGUUCAAGAUUAUAUCCCAAAUUAUAGACUGUCUGGUAUCUUCAGGAUACUAGAAU